rnacentral:rRNA from 1 species
ACGUUCGGAUAAGAGGCUGAAACUCGCCUCUUUGAAGUCGGAAUCGCUAGUAAUCGCAGAUCAGCAUGUUGCGGUGAAUACGUUUCCUGGUCUUGUACACACCGCCCGUCAAACCAUGAGAGUCGCCAACACCCGAAGUCCGCUUUGCGGCCUAAGGUGGGGGAGAUGAUUGGGGUUAAGUCGUAACAAGGUAUC